rnacentral:rRNA from 1 species
GACGAACGCUGGCGGCGUGCCUAAUACAUGCCAGUAGAGCGCACGGAUGAUACGCUAGCUUGCUAGACGAUAGAGGGGGACUGGCGAACGACUCAUUAACACCCAAGUAACCUGCCUGGGAUAACUUGGGGACUAUGUAGAACGAUACCUAAAACCUCAUAAUCUUGAUUGUUGCAUAAUAAAAGAUGGACAGGCUGAAUUUUACCACUGGCACAGCGCUGCAUUAGCUAGUAGGUAAGGUAACGGCUUACGAAGGCAAUGAUCCAUGACCGACCGGCGAGGGUGAUCGCCCACACUGGAACGGAAACACGGUCCAGACUCCUACGGGAGGCAGCAGAAGGGAAUCUUCCGCAAUGGGCGAAAGCCGGACGGAGCAACGCCGCGUGAUUGAUGAAGUUCUUCGGAUCGUAAAACUCUGUUAUUAGGGAAGAACAGAUGUGUAAGUAACUGUGCACAUCUUGACGGUACCUAAUCAGAAAGCCACGGCUAACUACGUG